rnacentral:rRNA from 1 species
CUGGCGGCGUGCUUAAUACAUGCAAGUCGAGCGGACAGAUGGGAGCUUGCUCCCUGAUGUUAGCGGCGGACGGGUGAGUAACACGUGGGUAACCUGCCUGUAAGACUGGGAUAACUCCGGGAAACCGGGGCUAAUACCGGAUGCUUGUUUGAACCGCAUGGUUCAAACAUAAAAGGUGGCUUCGGCUACCACUUACAGAUGGACCCGCGGCGCAUUAGCUAGUUGGUGAGGUAAYGGCUCACCAAGGCAACGAUGCGUAGCCGACCUGAGAGGGUGAUCGGCCACACUGGGACUGAGACACGGCCCAGACUCCUACGGGAGGCAGCAGUAGGGAAUCUUCCGCAAUGGACGAAAGUCUGACGGAGCAACGCCGCGUGAGUGAUGAAGGUUUUCGGAUCGUAAAGCUCUGUUGUUAGGGAAGAACAAGUACCGUUCGAAUAGGGCGGUACCUUGACGGUACCUAACCAGAAAGCCACGGCUAACUACGUGCCAGCAGCCGCGGUAAUACGUAGGUGGCAAGCGUUGUCCGGAAUUAUUGGGCGUAAAGGGCUCGCAGGCGGUUCCUUAAGUCUGAUGUGAAAGCCCCCGGCUCAACCGGGGAGGGUCAUUGGAAACUGGGGAACUUGAGUGCAGAAGAGGAGAGUGGAAUUCCACGUGUAGCGGUGAAAUGCGUAGAGAUGUGGAGGAACACCAGUGGCGAAGGCGACUCUCUGGUCUGUAACUGACGCUGAGGAGCGAAAGCGUGGGGAGCGAACAGGAUUAGAUACCCUGGUAGUCCACGCCGUAAACGAUGAGUGCUAAGUGUUAGGGGGUUUCCGCCCCUUAGUGCUGCAGCUAACGCAUUAAGCACUCCGCCUGGGGGAGUACGGUCGCAAGACUGAAACUCAAAUGGAAUUGACGGGGGCCCGCACAAGCGGUGGGAGCAUGUGGUUUAAUUUCGAAGCAACGCGAAAGAACCCUUACCAGGUCUUGAACAUCCUCUGAACAAUCCCUAGAGGAAUAGGACGUCCCCUUCGGAGGCCAGAGUGACAGGUGGAUGCAUGGAUUGUA